GCACUGCUGAGGAGUCCCACAAUAGGACGAAACAGUCGUCCAGUAC
rfam:Schistosoma curassoni strain Dakar, Senegal genome assembly, scaffold: SCTD_scaffold0021751